GACGAACGCUGGCGGCGUGCUUAACACAUGCAAGUCGAACGGAAAGGCCCUGCUUUUGUGGGGUGCUCGAGUGGCGAACGGGUGAGUAACACGUGAGUAACCUGCCCUUGACUUUGGGAUAACUUCAGGGAACUGGGGCUAAUACCGGAUAGGAGCUCCUGCUGCAUGGUGGGGGUUGGAAAGUUUCGGCGGUUGUGGAUGGACUCGCGGCUUAUCAGCUUGUUGGUGGGGUAGUGGCUUACCAAGGCUUUGACGGGUAGCCGGCCUGAGAGGGUGACCGGCCACAUUGGGACUGAGAGACGGCCCAGACUCCUACGGGAGGCAGCAGUGGGGAAUAUUGCACAAUGGGCGGAAGCCUGAUGCAGCAACGCCGCGUGCGGGAUGACGGCCUUCGGGUUGUAAACCGCUUUCGCCGGUGACGAAGCGUGAGUGACGGUAAUGGGUAAGGAAGCACCGGCUAACUACGUG
rnacentral:rRNA from 1 species